AUCACAGGGGGAUAGCCUUUGGAAACAGGGAUUAAUACCGCAUAAAGCAGGGGCUCCGCAUGGAGAUAUUGCUAAAGAUUUAUCGGUGAUAGAUGGGCAUGCGUCUGAUUAGUUAGAUGGUAGGGUAACGGCCUACCAUGACGAUGAUCAGUAGGGGGCGUCAGAGCGUGGUCCCCCACACUGGCACUGAGAUACGGGCCAGACUCCUACGGGAGGCAGCAGUAGGGAAUAUUGGGCAAUGGAUGCAAGUCUGACCCAGCCAUGCCGCGUGAAGGAAGAAGGUCCUCUGGAUUGUAAACUUCUUUUAUCGGGGAAGAAGAAACGCCUUGCGAGGUGAAGUGACGGUACCCGAUGAAUAAGCCACGGCUAACUACGUGCCAGCAGCCGCGGUAAUACGUAGGUGGCAAGCGUUGUCCGGAUUUAUUGGGUUUAAAGGGUGCGUAGGUGGUUUAAUAAGUCAGUGGUGAAAGCUGGUUGCUCAACAAUCAAGUUGCCAUUGAUACUGUUAGACUUGAGAGAAGUGGAGGCUGGUGGAAUGGAUGGUGUAGCGGUGAAAUGCAUAGAUAUCAUCCAGAACGUCAAUUGCGAAGGCAGCUGGCUGUACUUUUUCUGACACUGAGGCACGAAAGUGUGGGGAUCAAACAGGAUUAGAUACCCUGGUAGUCCACACUGUAAACGAUGCGAACUAGCUUUUUGGCUUUAGAGUUGAGAGGCUAAGGG
rnacentral:rRNA from 1 species